rnacentral:rRNA from 1 species
GACGAACACUGGCGGCGUGCCUAAUACAUGCAAGUUGAGCGCUGAAGGUUGGUACUUGUACCAACUGGAUGAGCAGCGAACGGGUGAGUAACGCGUGGGGAAUCUGCCUUUGAGCGGGGGACAACAUUUGGAAACGAAUGCUAAUACCGCAUAAAAACUUUAAACACAAGUUUUAAGUUUGAGGGAUGCAAUUGCAUCACUCAAAGAUGAUCCCGCGUUGUAUUAGCUAGUUGGUGAGGUAAAGGCUCACCAAGGCGAUGAUACAUAGCCGACCUGAGAGGGUGAUCGGCCACAUUGGGACUGAGACACGGCCCAAACUCCUACGGGAGGCAGCAGUAGGGAAUCUUCGGCAAUGGACGAAAGUCUGACCGAGCAACGCCGCGUGAGUGAAGAAGGUUUUCGGAUCGUAAAACUCUGUUGGUAGAGAAGAACGUUGGUGAGAGUGGAAAGCUCAUCAAGUGACGGUAACUACCCAGAAAGGGACGGCUAACUACGUG